rnacentral:rRNA from 1 species
AAUAUUGCACAAUGGGCGCAAGCCUGAUGCAGCCAUGCCGCGUGUAUGAAGAAGGCCUUCGGGUUGUAAAGUACUUUCAGCAGUGAGGAAGGUGGGUAUGUUAAUAGCAUACUCAUUUGACGUUUAGCUGCAGAAGAAGCACCGGCUAACUCCGUGCCAGCAGCCGCGGUAAUACGGAGGGUGCGAGCGUUAAUCGGAAUUACUGGGCGUAAAGCGCAUGCAGGUGGUUUGUUAAGUCAGAUGUGAAAGCCCGGGGCUCAACCUCGGAAUUGCAUUUGAAACUGGCAAACUAGAGUACUGUAGAGGGGGUAGAAUUUCAGGUGUAGCGGUGAAAUGCGUAGAGAUCUGAAGGAAUACCGGUGGCGAAGGCGGCCCCCUGGACAGAUACUGACACUCAGAUGCGAAAGCGUGGGGAGCAAACAGGAUUAGAUACCCUCGUAG